ACCCUUUUUUUUUUAUCACUCCUUCAAGAGUCAAAGGCCAUGGGCAUGAAAAGCUACUACCAAAAGUGAUCAUAGGGUUUUGAAUCCGCAGUCGGAGAGGAGUGAUGGAAAAUGAGGUUGCAAUCGAUGUUGAACCUCUUCUUGUAGAUAUUGUGGCAGUCGAAUUCAAGUGUCAAAGGAUUCUGAAGCGAAUAUUUUUGUGGAGGCUACAGAAGAAAUUUAUAUGCAGGAGUCGUCUGUAAAGCUUGAUGCGGAGCAAGUUAUUAAUGGGGAGGUACCUGUAGACAACACCGGAGAUUCUAUCUCUUUGGGAGUUAAUGGAAUGUCUAACGAUGACCAUGGGACUGAAAAUUUGAAGAGGCGAUCGGGCUUCUGGGAAAUGAACUCAACGAAACUGUUUAUGAGGUUGGAGUUGCAGACGGACCUGCCAAUGUGGAACAUAAGGCCGAGGAACUUGUCCCAGUGGAAUCAAACAGGCUGGAUGAUGGUUCAGUUGGUUUUGGAGAAACUGUUGUCAAUCUUGGUGAUGAUCCAGGCAAUGAACCUAAUGAAAAUUUUUAUGAGGUUGGAGUUGCAGAUGGACCUGCCAAUGUAAAAGAUAAGGCCAAGGAAGUUGUGGCAGUGGAAUCAAAUGGAGGAGAGGGUUUGAAGGAACGGCUCUAGCAUUUUUUUUUUUAGAUUCAACUCUAGCAUUAGUGUAAUUAAAUGGACUAUUCUCUAUUAAACCAUAGCCCCUUAGAGAACCUUGCCAAGCAACAUUACCAGUGGCGAGCCUUGCUGCAACUAUCUCUAGCGAUUGCAUCUUCCAAGAUCUUUAUCUCUAUAGAACCCAAUCCCCAACACUGCGGCCGCAUUCCUCUCCCAGCAUCUUUCCCUUUUUUUGCUCAAUUUCACUUCACAUCCACAAGCUACGUUUGCUAAACAAAAAUUUAUUUAUUUAUUUAUAUUGAGGAAUGAGUAUGUUUGUAGUUAUGUUGGAAUUUGAUUUAGCAAGAACCCUAGCUAUGCUCAUAGAUUUAUCUGAAUCUGUAAUGUUAUUUGUAUGGUGCAAUUAACUGGAGAAUUUUUUUUUACAUUAAA